GACGAACGCCGGGGGCGUGCUUAACACAUGCAAGUCGAACGCUGAAGCCCAGCUUGCUGGGUGGCUGAGUGGCGAACGGGUGAGUAACACGUGAGUAACCUGCCCCCCUUCUUUGGGAUAACGCCCGGAAACGGGUGCUAAUACAGGAUAUUCACUGGCCUUCGCAUGGGGGUUGGUGGAAAGGUUUUUUCUGGUGGGGGAUGGGCUCGCGGCCUAUCAGCUUGUUGGUGGGGUGAUGGCCUACCAAGGCUUUGACGGGUAGCCGGCCUGAGAGGGUGACCGGUCACAUUGGGACUGAGAUACGGCCCAGACUCCUACGGGAGGCAGCAGUGGGGAAUAUUGCACAAUGGGCGAAAGCCUGAUGCAGCGACGCCGCGUGAGGGAUGACGGCCUUCGGGUUGUAAACCUCUUUCGCUCAUGGUCAAGCCGCAACAAUGGUUGUGGUGAGGGUAGUGGGUAAAGAAGCGCCGGCUAACUACGUGCCAGCAGCCGCGGUAAUACGUAGGGCGCGAGCGUUGUCCGGAAUUAUUGGGCGUAAAGGGCUUGUAGGCGGUUGGUCGCGUCUGCCGUGAAAUCCUCUGGCUUAACUGGGGGCGUGCGGUGGGUACGGGCUGACUUGAGUGCGGUAGGGGAGACUGGAACUCCUGGUGUAGCGGUGGAAUGCGCAGAUAUCAGGAAGAACACCGGUGGCGAAGGCGGGUCUCUGGGCCGUUACUGACGCUGAGGAGCGAAAGCGUGGGGAGCGAACAGG
rnacentral:rRNA from 1 species